AGUGAACGCUGGCGGCGUGCCUAAUACAUGCAAGUCGAACGGAGUGGCGCACGGGUGAGUGAUAUAUAACUAAUCUGCCCCUUGCUGGAGGACAACAGUUAGAAAUGACUGCUAGUACUCCAUAGCAAGGGAUGAGACUAUAUCGUAUCAGCUAGGAGGUGGGGUAACGGCCUACCGAGGGUAUGACACGUAACUGGUCUGAGAGGAUGAGCAGUCACAGUGGAAGGGAGCCACGGGCCAAACUCCUACGGGAGGCAGCAGUAGGGAAUAUUGCGCAAUGGGGGUAUCCCUGACGCAGCAACGGCGCGUGGAGGAUGUCACUUUGCGGAGCGUAAACUCCUUUUGUUAGGUAAGCGGUACCUAACGAAUAAGCACCGGCUAACUCCGUGCCAGCAGCCGCGGUAAUUC
rnacentral:rRNA from 1 species